rnacentral:misc_RNA from 1 species
GAUGAAGAACGCAGCGAAAUGCGAUACGUAAUGUGAAUUGCAGAAUUCAGUGAAUCAUCGAGUCUUUGAACGCACAUUGCGCCCCCUGGUAUUCCGGGGGGCAUGUCCGUCCGAGCGUCAUUGCUGCCCUCAAGCACGGCUUGUGUGUUGGGCCUCCGUCCUCCUCCCGGGGGACGGGCCCGAAAGGCAGCGGCGGCACCGCGUCCGGUCCUCGAGCGUAUGGGGCUUCGUCACCCGCUCUUGUAGGCCCGGCCGGCGCUUGCCGACACAUCAAUCUUUUUUCCAGGUUGACCUCGGAUCAGGUAGGGAUACCCGCUGAACUUAAGCAUAUCAAUAAGCGGAGGA